rnacentral:rRNA from 1 species
AAGCUCGUAGUUGAAUUUCGGGAUCAAUGUUUCGGUCAUGCCGUUGGUAUGUACUGAUAUUAUUGAUUUCUCACCUUCUAAAGAACCGUAAUGCCAUUAAUUUGGUGUCACGGGGAAUUAGGACUGUUACCUUGAAAAAAUUAGAGUGUUUAAAGCAGGCUCACGCUUGAAUACAUUAGCAUGGAAUAAUGAGAUAGGACAUCCGAUUCUAUUUUGUUGGUUUCUAGGAUCGAUGUAAUGAUUAAUAGGGAUAGUUGGG